rnacentral:lncRNA from 1 species
UUUGCAUACAUAAAAGACCCUCCAUUUUUACUAGAACCCCUAUAGGUUAUUACAACAUAUUACAAACCAAAAUGAGUUAGAAAAAGUAAAAAUGACAUCAGAAAUUCAAGUUACAACCAAACAGCCUAAUUCAGACUCAAGGUCUAACAAUAUGAGAUAAACCAACUUCUAAGAUCAGAUUUCCAAAAGAUUUUCUCUUAUUUGGGAAGUGUUAAAGUUCCCAAGAGUCUCAAAGUACUCGGGGCAGUGCUUACACCCCAAAUAUAUUUGCAGAAUUAGAUUAUAGUGCAGUGUGGAAGGGCCAGCCCUCAAAUAUCCAAGUUCAGAGGGACUCAAGGUCCCAAAGCAAGGCUCAUGGAGGGGGGGGGGGAAAGAACUUAGAGUCUAAGAGUAAUUUUAAGUACAUAGAGGGGAAUUAGGGAAGGCCAUAGAAGGUUGGUUGUCAUUCCCAGCAAUUAGGAGUGCUGGCACACCCCUGACCAGCCCGUUAGCCAAAUCUUAGGAGUUAUGAUCCAUUGAGGAUCAAAUUCAAACCUGAACAGUAAUUGGAUACUGCCACACCAAGAACCUUAACUCAAACACAUAGAAGUUCUUAGCAAGAACACAAACAGAGUUUGGUAAAGCAAAUGUCACAGAACUCAACGGUAAUCGUAAAUAGUAAAAGAGUAAGGAAAACAUAAUACAGAUUAACAUGUGAGUACAUGAGUAACAUGUUUAGUAGAAAAAAAAGCAGAAGAACAGUGCAUGCGUAGCAAAAGAGGUCAUACGAGCAUAACACAGACAAACACACAUAAAGAAAGAACAUAAAGAAUCGGAAAGAUGCUUUUGAAAAACCUUUUAGAAAUCCUAAAUUUAAGAUAAACGAUCUUGAAAAGAAAAUUUGGGGAAAACCUUUUAAAUGUCAAGUAAUGCAUAUAUACAACAUAGAUCUAAGACAACAAAGAGAGAAAGAACCUUAAAUAGCUUACGGUUUUGGAGAAUCCCUAGAAAUAAGAAAGUCAUGGAAGAAAGAUCAGAUCUUGAGUCGAAGAGCUCAGGAAUCAAGCUUCUAGUGCUCGAAUAUGCCAGAACAUGGCCUGAGAGGCCAUAGAUCCACUGAGAAGGAUCUCAAGGAAAACCAUCGAGGUCAGAUCUCAAAGCUUCGAACAACCAUGGUUUACUGAUGGAGGGAAGUGAGUACCAGCCAUCCAUGGCCUGAGAAACCAUGGAUUCCAGUGGAGUGGUGGUUGAAGAGGGGUAGAAGGAAGCUAGGGAUCCGAAGAGUUUGAGAGAAGAGAGGUUUCAAAGGCGCCUGAGAGAUGGAAAAUGUGGGAUUAGGGUAGUCGUUUAG